rfam:Schistosoma margrebowiei strain Zambia genome assembly, scaffold: SMRZ_contig0001873
AUCCAACUGACGAGUCCCAAAUAGGACGAAACGUAAGUCAUGGAC